rnacentral:sRNA from 1 species
AUCGUCCGUUGCUCCACAGGAGCAUUUAACUGUCCAUUUGUCCACACCCCUCUCCAUCCGGUAAAUUGCAAACCGUCUUUCACCACCAAUGCACCUGCCUUUGAUGUGGACAGCCCCCUUUGCUCCAAACAAGAGCUUGAUUUGUGUUGUGUCGCUUGCAGUUGCACAAUCAAGAAGCUGGUCAGCUACAAAACUCUGUAACAUUAGGUAGAUGUCUCGAAAUGCUCUCGCAGCCUCCCCUUUGAGAUCAGCGAUAGUUGCUGCCUGUGGAAGAGUUAUGAGCUCUGCUGGGAUACAAGGUGGAUCAUCAACCUGGUCAGCUAGUUCCACUUGGCACCAAAUGUGCAACUGGGAUGGGUUUUGAGGUAAGAAGUCUUCUUCCAGAUCAUAAUGCUUGAUGAAUUGCUUGCAGUCCAAAAGGAUCAUUGCAGACCUCUUGGCAUGCUGAUAAUUUUCUUCUGGCAUAUAAGGAUGCAUUGUGUAUGGGUAGAGAAGCGCAUCAUACAAGAACUUGAUGUCACGGAAUAGGUGGUCUUGGGUUAGGGUGCACACGUUGUUUGGUGGGAAGAGGGUUUCAGUCGUAAGCCUGCAGUGAGAUAGUAGUUAGAAUUUGGAUCAUGAAACAAGCACUUAGUUAGCAUGCAAGUUGUAACAAAGAUAUGAGCCACCAACCUGUACUCUACAGUGUUCAUCUCACUGUUGCAUCGAAUUGCAACAACCAUCCCAUCGUCAGUUCUUGUACCACCAAGGGUCUUGAUGCAGUAAUCGACCAGCUGUGGCGAACCAAUUGGAUGGGAUGUAACUGCCUUUAGUGUCCGUGUAGCAACCCAUCUAUCUGCAGCACGGAGAAUUUUGAGAGCAAUGUUUGUUGCUCGCUGUAAUUCCUCUUCAGGGAAUUCCUCUUGAUAAUUGGCAUCAUAUGCCAUUUUCUCUUUGUGCACACUCUUGCCGGUGGCAAGCUCCAUUAUAUAGGCGAACAGUUCACGGAUUGUGGUGAGAGGGUGCCUUGAGAGAGAUUGGUAGAAUGCAAUGGUAUUUUGUAACUGGUUUCGUGGAGAUCGGGUGUGAGGGAAGAAGUUAGAGAGUGGCACUGAGGAUAGGCUUUCUACAGCUUUGGAGUAGUCUUGAGGUGUGAUUCCAAAGCUUCCGCUGCUAAGUUUGAAUCCCCACAGGCCAUACCAAGAACAGCCAGUGGCAACAGCAUGGAGGCUUCGGUAGUCAGCUCCAUACUUCUUCGAAACAUCUAUCACUGAGACUUUUCUGCAAUUUAUCAAGUUUUUUGACAUGUUAGUAUCAUCUGCUGAUUAUAAAUUAGAAGUGUUGAAUUGAAUGAUAUUGGCUUUGUUUGUGUUGAGUUCAUUAAUCAUAAAUCAUCACUUUACCUGACCCUGAGGUAUCUGCAGAGCCGAUCCCAGAAGUUAAUCAGUUGGGAUCCUGUCAUGACGCUGGAGCCUCCCUCACGGCCAUUAAUCCGAACAAGGUGGCCAAACCCGUUUUCAUGGACUAUGCCAUGCAGCAGAUGCCGUGGACUCUCCAGCUGCACAUAGUCCCAAUCUUCCGGAUCAUCCCGUGAGAGGCCAACGUGGUUGCAGGACGGACAUCUGAGGACAACAUUCACAAGAUGAGGCCACACAUGCCACCAUGAACCCGCAACGCCUGCAGGUUUUGGAGGUGCCAGUUUCAUUCUCAUUGCGAAUUAUGAAGUGGUACCUCUUGGAGCAAACAGGGUGCUUGCUCCAGCCUAUGUAACAAUAAGGCAAGUAAAUUUAGAUUUCAUCCAGAAUUGAGUUGCAAUAAUAAGCAAUCAAACAUAUCUAUAUAUCAAUCAAUCCAGCUCAUUUUAUAGCGCUGGAAUAGUUAUAAU